AUCCCCCACUUUUAAAAAUGUAUUAAUAAGGAUUUAUAUGUAAAUUGGGGGACCUAUAUGUAAAUAUAGAAAUUACAAGGACUAAACUGCUAAGUUGCAAAAAGAAAAAAAAAAGAAAAGGAAAAACCAAAAAUUCGGUAUUAUCCCACCGCCUCCCACGCACUCUGUUUCUUUCCAGAAACAGAGAGAGCGGUGGGGCGUGAGGAGAAGAAGGAGAGUGGUUGAAGAAAAGAAGAAGAAGAGGGAAAAGAAGAGAGGAGGAAGAAGAGAGGAAGAAGAGAGGAAGAAGAGGGAGAAGAGAAGAAGAUGAAGAAGAAGAAGAAGAGGAGGUGGCUGCAGCGAGGGCUGCAGCGAGAAGCUGUGGGGCGUGGGGAGAAGAAGAGAGGAAGAAGAGGGAGAAGAGAAGAAGAAGAAGAAGAAGCAGAAGAAGAAGAAGAAGAAGAAGAAGAAGAAGAAGAAGAAGAAGAAGAAGAAGAAGAGAGGAUGAUAGCUGCGGCAAGGCUGCAGCGAGGAGGUGUGUGGGGUUGGGGAGGAAAAGGGAAGAGGAGAAGAAAAGAAGGAGAAGAAGAGGGAAAAGAGAGGGAAGAGGGAGAGGAGCGAGAGGUGGCAGCAGCUAGGGCUGCAGCACCUCUGUUUCCUGCAGGUGGAAACAGAGGAGAGGUGGGGCGUUCGAAGAGGAGAAGAAGAAGAAGAAGGAAGAGAAGAGGAAGAGGAAGCAGGAGAAGAGGUUGUGAUACCUCUGUUUCCUGCAGAGGAAACAGAGGAGAGGGUGUGUGUGACGUCGGGGAGAAGAAGGGGAGGAAGGAGAAGAAGAGAAGAAGAAGAAAGGAAGGAGAGGAAGAAGAGAAGGGAAAGGAGGAGCUGCGGCUGCGGCGGUGGCAGCUGCAGCUGGAAGAGAAGGAGAGGAAGAGAUGGUGAGGAAGAAGAGAAGAAGUAGAAGCGGGUGAAGAGGCGGCACCUCUGUUUCCUGCAGGAGGAAACAGAGGAAAGGAGGUGCUGUUCGUCGGGGAGAAGAAGGGGGCUGCAGCUGCGGCGAUGGCAGCUGCAGCUGGAAGAGAAGAAGAAGAGGAAGAUGAGCAGGGGAGGAGGGAGAGGUUGCGGCCGUGGCUGCGGCCGCGACUGCAGCAGUUGCAGCGGGGAGAGAAGAAGAAGAAAGGAAGGAGAAGGAAGAGGAGAAGGGAAAGAAGUAGCUGCGGCUGCGGUUGUGGCAGCUGCAGCUGUGGUAGGGAAAGAGGAAGAGAAAAAGGAAAGGAAGAAGAAGAGAAAGGGAAGGAGAGGAAGAAGAGAGGAAGAGGAGAAGGGGCUGCGGCUGCGGCGAUGGCAGCUGCAGCUGUGGCUGGGAAAGAAGAGAAGGAAAGAAAGAAGGAAUGAGAGUAAGAGAGAGCAGGUGACUGUGCCUCGAUGUUCGACACGUGAUGUAGUUACGAAGAAAGGAAGAAAACGGGAGCACAAAACGAAACAGAGAGAGGACACGGAGGAAAAGUAGAAAGAUUGGACUAGCACCUUCCUUGGAUAUUCAGAUCAAAAUAUUUGAAAGGUCAGCUUGUCACUCUUCGAGAUGUUUGAUUUGGGCUGAGGCAGUGGAUAGCUAUUCAGAAUUAUGGGCAAGUCCUGUUAGUUGUUAUGCUAUUGUUGUAUAAGCAUAUUUUGUAUGUAAUGAAUUGUUCUGAUGAUCGAAAUGGAUAUACUGUGUAAAAGUGUUAGAAGAUCUCUCUUAUUUGGAAUUUCGGAAUGUUAAAUCUAAUUUAUGACGAUAUGAACUUGUGGUGAAUAGUUGGAGUUCUGAUUGUAUAAUUUAUUUAGCUUGUGGAUUUAUAAAUGUUGUUCAUGUUUGUCAAGUUGGCUUGGGUUGCCAUAAAUGUGAAUUAUCGAGUGAUGUGAUAUAUGAUUAUAAACUGCACAGGUUUUAUGGAUGUGAAUAUGAAUAGAAUGUUUUCAGUGUCCUCAAACGUUAGUUUGGAUCCUGGAUUGGUCUGUGAUGAAAAAUUUUAAAAAUCAUGGAUAUUUUGAGGGGCGUGAUAGAGGUGGUAUCAGAGCAUUGUUUGAGGAUUACUGAAAUAUUUGAUAUGUUGACGUGCAAAAUAUAUUGAGGUCUAAUGAACUAUAGUGAUUGGUGGAAAUUUUCCUUACUGCAUUUUAGGAAUCUGGGAUGAUGAGGACAUUUGGUCCUCCUAUAUCAUUUGUUUAUGAUUAAUUAAGGGGAAUGAAAGGAUUGAUUGGGGAUUUUGAAUCAGAGUGGCGCAGCAGAAGCAUGAUGAACCUAAUUUCAUUGGUGGUAGAAAAAUGGAUGAUGCAAAUGGAGAAGAUAUUUGAUGUACAAAAUUGUUUUGAUGAUCAAAAGAUUUCUUUUGCCACCUUAUAUUGGAAGUAGAGGCUGAUUAUUAUUGGCAACAAUGAAAAGAAUUUUUGGAGAUCAGUGACAAGAAUGAUAAGGACAAGUUUACCAAUAAGAAUAUGAUUGGAAAUGAAUCAGAAAGUAAUGACAAGAGGGUCAAGACAUUUGGAUUUGAAAAGGAAAGUCACCACCAAAGACUUAAUCAUGUGUGAAUUACAAGUUAAAUUAUGAAACAAGUUUGUGUUUUCGGGUGAUUAGAGCCUAUUUUGCUUAUGGAAAGUUUGAUCAUAAAAUAAAAGUUUGCCCUUUGAACAAGAAGAAAGAGUCACUGCCUCCUAAAUCAUCAGCCCAUGUCAGAGUGUAUGCUAUCACUGAAUAUGAUUCUAUGACUUCUGAAUUAGUGGUCGAAGGUAUUAUGUAUGUUUAUGAAAGAAUGCAAAUAUUUGUUUGAACAUGGGUUCUAUCUACGAUUUGAUUCGUAACAUAUUGCCUAUCACUUGGGUAUUCAACCUAGACCACUGUAUUAUGUGAUAUAUGUAAGUACAAUCAUUGGAGAUUCUUUGAUAACGAACUUGAAUCUGGUCCUCUUGUCUGAUUUUUGUUGGAGAACUUGAACUUUUGCUGAUUUAGUUCUCCUAGAGAUUUGGAGUUAUGAUAUUAUACUUGGUAUGCAUUGGCUAUCUUCUUAUCAUACCAGUAUGGAUUGGUAUAUAACAAAUGAUCACUUUUUGCAUAUUUGAUCAGCCGAUCUUUUAUUUUGAGAGUAUUGGACAUUAUUUAUCUCCUUGCCUAAUGUAUCCCAGGAUGACUUGCCUGGAUUACCUCCAAAUGUGAUUUUGCUUUUGAUUUGGUCCUUGGGACAAUCCCUAUAUCUAAGCCUCUCUGCAGAAUGAUAUCAUUUGAGUAAGUGGAAUUAGAAAAACAACUACAAGGAUUAUUAAAUGAGGAUUUUAUUUGGCUUAAUAUUUUAUCAUGGGGUGCUCUGGUGUUAGUUAAAAAGAUGGAUGGAACAUGGAGGCUUUGUAUUGAUUAUGGAUAGUUGAAUCAGGUGAUCAUCAAAAACGAGUAUUUUCUGAAGUAACGAUUUGCUUGAUUAAUUACAGGUGCGCAAGUAUUUUUGAAAGAUUGAUUGAAGGUCGGGUUUACCAUCUAUUGAGAAUCAAGAAGGAGAAUAUUUCGGUCACUCUUGGAAAAUUGUGUAAUUGUAUUGAAUUGAUGAAAUUAUUUAAGAGUAGGAGGAGGAAAUAAAGAAAUCAUAAUCCUCAUCUUUUCAUCGAUUGAGCUAUGACCAAUUUAGAGGACUAAAUUUUCUUUUAAGGGGGGGAGAGUGUAAUAUCCCCCACUUUUAAAAAUGUAUUAAUAAGGAUUUAUAUGUAAAUUGGGGGACCUAUAUGUAAAUAUAGAAAUUACAAGGACUAAACUGCUAAGUUGCAAAAAGAAAAAAAAAAGAAAAGGAAAAACCAAAAAUUCGGUAUUAUCCCACCGCCUCCCACGCACUCUAUUUCUUUCCAGAAACAGAGAGAGCGGUGGGGCGUGAGGAGAAGAAGGAGAGUGGUUGAAGAAAAGAAGAAGAAGAGGGAAAAGAAGAGAGGAGGAAGAAGAGAGGAAGAAGAGAGGAAGAAGAGAGGAAGAAGAGGGAGAAGAGAAGAAGAUGAAGAAGAAGAAGAAGAGGAGGUGGCUGCAGCGAGGGCUGCAGCGAGAAGCUGUGGGGCGUGGGGAGAAGAAGAGAGGAAGAAGAGGGAGAAGAGAAGAAGAAGAAGAAGAAGCAGAAGAAGAAGAAGAAGAAGAAGAAGAAGAAGAAGAAGAAGAAGAAGAAGAAGAAGAGAGGAUGAUAGCUGCGGCAAGGCUGCAGCGAGGAGGUGUGUGGGGUUGGGGAGGAAAAGGGAAGAGGAGAAGAAAAGAAGGAGAAGAAGAGGGAAAAGAGAGGGAAGAGGGAGAGGAGCGAGAGGUGGCAGCAGCUAGGGCUGCAGCACCUCUGUUUCCUGCAGGUGGAAACAGAGGAGAGGUGGGGCGUUCGAAGAGGAGAAGAAGAAGAAGAAGGAAGAGAAGAGGAAGAGGAAGCAGGAGAAGAGGUUGUGAUACCUCUGUUUCCUGCAGAGGAAACAGAGGAGAGGGUGUGUGUGACGUCGGGGAGAAGAAGGGGAGGAAGGAGAAGAAGAGAAGAAGAAGAAAGGAAGGAGAGGAAGAAGAGAAGGGAAAGGAGGAGCUGCGGCUGCGGCGGUGGCAGCUGCAGCUGGAAGAGAAGGAGAGGAAGAGAUGGUGAGGAAGAAGAGAAGAAGUAGAAGCGGGUGAAGAGGCGGCACCUCUGUUUCCUGCAGGAGGAAACAGAGGAAAGGAGGUGCUGUUCGUCGGGGAGAAGAAGGGGGCUGCAGCUGCGGCGAUGGCAGCUGCAGCUGGAAGAGAAGAAGAAGAGGAAGAUGAGCAGGGGAGGAGGGAGAGGUUGCGGCCGUGGCUGCGGCCGCGACUGCAGCAGUUGCAGCGGGGAGAGAAGAAGAAGAAAGGAAGGAGAAGGAAGAGGAGAAGGGAAAGAAGUAGCUGCGGCUGCGGUUGUGGCAGCUGCAGCUGUGGUAGGGAAAGAGGAAGAGAAAAAGGAAAGGAAGAAGAAGAGAAAGGGAAGGAGAGGAAGAAGAGAGGAAGAGGAGAAGGGGCUGCGGCUGCGGCGAUGGCAGCUGCAGCUGUGGCUGGGAAAGAAGAGAAGGAAAGAAAGAAGGAAUGAGAGUAAGAGAGAGCAGGUGACUGUGCCUCGAUGUUCGACACGUGAUGUAGUUACGAAGAAAGGAAGAAAACGGGAGCACAAAACGAAACAGAGAGAGGACACGGAGGAAAAGUAGAAAGAUUGGACUAGCACCUUCCUUGGAUAUUCAGAUCAAAAUAUUUGAAAGGUCAGCUUGUCACUCUUCGAGAUGUUUGAUUUGGGCUGAGGCAGUGGAUAGCUAUUCAGAAUUAUGGGCAAGUCCUGUUGGUUGUUAUGCUAUUGUUGUAUAAGCAUAUUUUGUAUGUAAUGAAUUGUUCUGAUGAUCGAAAUGGAUAUACUGUGUAAAAGUGUUAGAAGAUCUCUCUUAUUUGGAAUUUCGGAAUGUUAAAUCUAAUUUAUGACGAUAUGAACUUGUGGUGAAUAGUUGGAGUUCUGAUUGUAUAAUUUAUUUAGCUUGUGGAUUUAUAAAUGUUGUUCAUGUUUGUCAAGUUGGCUUGGGUUGCCAUAAAUGUGAAUUAUCGAGUGAUGUGAUAUAUGAUUAUAAACUGCACAGGUUUUAUGGAUGUGAAUAUGAAUAGAAUGUUUUCAGUGUCCUCAAACGUUAGUUUGGAUCCUGGAUUGGUCUGUGAUGAAAAAUUUUAAAAAUCAUGGAUAUUUUGAGGGGCGUGAUAGAGGUGGUAUCAGAGCAUUGUUUGAGGAUUACUGAAAUAUUUGAUAUGUUGACGUGCAAAAUAUAUUGAGGUCUAAUGAACUAUAGUGAUUGGUGGAAAUUUUCCUUGCUGCAUUUUAGGAAUCUGGGAUGAUGAGGACAUUUGGUCCUCCUAUAUCAUUUGUUUAUGAUUAAUUAAGGGGAAUGAAAGGAUUGAUUGGGGAUUUUGAAUCAGAGUGGCGCAGCAGAAGCAUGAUGAACCUAAUUUUAUUGGUGGUAGAAAAAUGGAUGAUGCAAAUGGAGAAGAUAUUUGAUGUACAAAAUUGUUUUGAUGAUCAAAAGAUUUCUUUUGCCACCUUAUAUUGGAAGUAGAGGCUGAUUAUUAUUGGCAACAAUGAAAAGAAUUUUUGGAGAUCAGUGACAAGAAUGAUAAGGACAAGUUUACCAAUAAGAAUAUGAUUGGAAAUGAAUCAGAAAGUAAUGACAAGAGGGUCAAGACAUUUGGAUUUGAAAAGGAAAGUCACCACCAAAGACUUAAUCAUGUGUGAAUUACAAGUUAAAUUAUGAAACAAGUUUGUGUUUUCGGGUGAUUAGAGCCUAUUUUGCUUAUGGAAAGUUUGAUCAUAAAAUAAAAGUUUGCCCUUUGAACAAGAAGAAAGAGUCACUGCCUCCUAAAUCAUCAGCCCAUGUCAGAGUGUAUGCUAUCACUGAAUAUGAUUCUAAGACUUCUGAAUUAGUGGUCGAAGGUAUUAUGUAUGUUUAUGAAAGAAUGCAAAUAUUUGUUUGAACAUGGGUUCUAUCUACGAUUUGAUUCGUAACAUAUUGCCUAUCACUUGGGUAUUCAACCUAGACCACUGUAUUAUGUGAUAUAUGUAAGUACAAUCAUUGGAGAUUCUUUGAUAACGAACUUGAAUCUGGUCCUCUUGUCUGAUUUUUGUUGGAGAACUUGAACUUUUGCUGAUUUAGUUCUCCUAGAGAUUUGGAGUUAUGAUAUUAUACUUGGUAUGCAUUGGCUAUCUUCUUAUCAUACCAGUAUGGAUUGGUAUAUAACAAAUGAUCACUUUUUGCAUAUUUGAUCAGCCGAUCUUUUAUUUUGAGAGUAUUGGACAUUAUUUAUCUCCUUGCCUAAUGUAUCCCAGGAUGACUUGCCUGGAUUACCUCCAAAUGUGAUUUUGCUUUUGAUUUGGUCCUUGGGACAAUCCCUAUAUCUAAGCCUCUCUGCAGAAUGAUAUCAUUUGAGUAAGUGGAAUUAGAAAAACAACUACAAGGAUUAUUAAAUGAGGAUUUUAUUUGGCUUAAUAUUUUAUCAUGGGGUGCUCUGGUGUUAGUUAAAAAGAUGGAUGGAACAUGGAGGCUUUGUAUUGAUUAUGGAUAGUUGAAUCAGGUGAUCAUCAAAAAUGAGUAUUUUCUGAAGUAACGAUUUGCUUGAUUAAUUACAGGUGCGCAAGUAUUUUUGAAAGAUUGAUUGAAGGUCGGGUUUACCAUCUAUUGAGAAUCAAGAAGGAGAAUAUUUCGGUCACUCUUGGAAAAUUGUGUAAUUGUAUUGAAUUGAUGAAAUUAUUUAAGAGUAGGAGGAGGAAAUAAAGAAAUCAUAAUCCUCAUCUUUUCAUCGAUUGAGCUAUGACCAAUUUAGAGGACUAAAUUUUCUUUUAAGGGGGGGAGAGUGUAAUAUCCCCCACUUUUAAAAAUGUAUUAAUAAGGAUUUAUAUGUAAAUUGGGGGACCUAUAUGUAAAUAUAGAAAUUACAAGGACUAAACUGCUAAGUUGCAAAAAGAAAAAAAAAAGAAAAGGAAAAACCAAAAAUUCGGUAUUAUCCCACCGCCUCCCACGCACUCUGUUUCUUUCCAGAAACAGAGAGAGCGGUGGGGCGUGAGGAGAAGAAGGAGAGUGGUUGAAGAAAAGAAGAAGAAGAGGGAAAAGAAGAGAGGAGGAAGAAGAGAGGAAGAAGAGAGGAAGAAGAGGGAGAAGAGAAGAAGAUGAAGAAGAAGAAGAAGAGGAGGUGGCUGCAGCGAGGGCUGCAGCGAGAAGCUGUGGGGCGUGGGGAGAAGAAGAGAGGAAGAAGAGGGAGAAGAGAAGAAGAAGAAGAAGAAGCAGAAGAAGAAGAAGAAGAAGAAGAAGAAGAAGAAGAAGAAGAAGAAGAGAGGAUGAUAGCUGCGGCAAGGCUGCAGCGAGGAGGUGUGUGGGGUUGGGGAGGAAAAGGGAAGAGGAGAAGAAAAGAAAGAGAAGAAGAGGGAAAAGAGAGGGAAGAGGGAGAGGAGCGAGAGGUGGCAGCAGCUAGGGCUGCAGCACCUCUGUUUCCUGCAGGUGGAAACAGAGGAGAGGUGGGGCGUUCGAAGAGGAGAAGAAGAAGAAGAAGGAAGAGAAGAGGAAGAGGAAGCAGGAGAAGAGGUUGUGAUACCUCUGUUUCCUGCAGAGGAAACAGAGGAGAGGGUGUGUGUGACGUCGGGGAGAAGAAGGGGAGGAAGGAGAAGAAGAGAAGAAGAAGAAAGGAAGGAGAGGAAGAAGAGAAGGGAAAGGAGGAGCUGCGGCUGCGGCGGUGGCAGCUGCAGCUGGAAGAGAAGGAGAGGAAGAGAUGGUGAGGAAGAAGAGAAGAAGUAGAAGCGGGUGAAGAGGCGGCACCUCUGUUUCCUGCAGGAGGAAAUAGAGGAAAGGAGGUGCUGUUCGUCGGGGAGAAGAAGGGGGCUGCAGCUGCGGCGAUGGCAGCUGCAGCUGGAAGAGAAGAAGAAGAGGAAGAUGAGCAGGGGAGGAGGGAGAGGUUGCGGCCGUGGCUGCGGCCGCGACUGCAGCAGUUGCAGCGGGGAGAGAAGAAGAAGAAAGGAAAGAGAAGGAAGAGGAGAAGGGAAAGAAGUAGCUGCGGCUGCGGUUGUGGCAGCUGCAGCUGUGGUAGGGAAAGAGGAAGAGAAAAAGGAAAGGAAGAAGAAGAGAAAGGGAAGGAGAGGAAGAAGAGAGGAAGAGGAGAAGGGGUUGCGGCUGCGGCGAUGGCAGCUGCAGCUGUGGCUGGGAAAGAAGAGAAGGAAAGAAAGAAGGAAUGAGAGUAAGAGAGAGCAGGUGACUGUGCCUCGAUGUUCAACACGUGAUGUAGUUACGAAGAAAGGAAGAAAACGGGAGCACAAAACGAAACAGAGAGAGGACACGGAGGAAAAGUAGAAAGAUUGGACUAGCACCUUCCUUGGAUAUUCAGAUCAAAAUAUUUGAAAGGUCAGCUUGUCACUCUUCGAGAUGUUUGAUUUGGGCUGAGGCAGUGGAUAGCUAUUCAGAAUUAUGGGCAAGUCCUGUUGGUUGUUAUGCUAUUGUUGUAUAAGCAUAUUUUGUAUGUAAUGAAUUGUUCUGAUGAUCGAAAUGGAUAUACUGUGUAAAAGUGUUAGAAGAUCUCUCUUAUUUGGAAUUUCGGAAUGUUAAAUCUAAUUUAUGACGAUAUGAACUUGUGGUGAAUAGUUGGAGUUCUGAUUGUAUAAUUUAUUUAGCUUGUGGAUUUAUAAAUGUUGUUUAUGUUUGUCAA